rnacentral:sRNA from 1 species
AACACUCAAUUUCCAAUCAAAUAAA